rnacentral:rRNA from 1 species
CCUACGGGUGGCAGCAGUGAGGAAUAUUGGUCAAUGGACGAGAGUCUGAACCAGCCAAGUAGCGUGAAGGAUGACUGCCCUAUGGGUUGUAAACUUCUUUUAUAUGGGAAUAAAACGUUCCACGUGUGGGAUUUUGUAUGUACCAUAUGAAUAAGGAUCGGCUAACUCCGUGCCAGCAGCCGCGGUAAUACGGAGGAUCCGAGCGUUAUCCGGAUUUAUUGGGUUUAAAGGGAGCGUAGGUGGAUUGUUAAGUCAGUUGUGAAAGUUUGCGGCUCAACCGUAAAAUUGCAGUUGAAACUGGCAGUCUUGAGGACAGUAGAGGUGGGCGGAAUUCGUGGUGUAGCGGUGAAAUGCUUAGAGAGCACGAAGAACUCCGAUUGCGAAGGCAGUUCACUGGACUGCAACUGACACUGAGGCUCGAAAGUGUGGGUAUCAAACAGGAGUAGAUAACCCUGUAGUC